rnacentral:rRNA from 1 species
ACGCUAGCUACAGGCUUAACACAUGCAAGUCGAGGGGCAGCAUGUUGGUUGCUUGCAACCAAUGAUGGCGACCGGCGCACGGGUGAGUAACGCGUAUCCAACCUACCCAAUACUCAGGCAUAACCCGUUGAAAGACGGACUAAUUCCUGAUGGUAUGUAUUUCUCUCAUGAGUUAUACAUUAAAGAAUUUCGGUAUUGGAUGGGGAUGCGUCUGAUUAGUUUGUUGGUGGGGUAACGGCUCACCAAGACUUCGAUCAGUAGGGGUUCUGAGAGGAAGGUCCCCCACAUUGGAACUGAGACACGGUCCAAACUCCUACGGGAGGCAGCAGUGAGGAAUAUUGGUCAAUGGAUGGAAAUCUGAACCAGCCAAGUAGCGUGCAGGAUGACGGCCCUAUGGGUUGUAAACUGCUUUUAUGUGAGAAUAAAGUUAGGUAUGUAUACUUAUUUGCAUGUAUCACAUGAAUAAGGACCGGCUAAUUCCGUGCCAGCAGCCGCGGUAAUACGGAAGGUCCAGGCGUUAUCCGGAUUUAUUGGGUUUAAAGGGUGCGUAGGCCGUUUGAUAAGCGUGCUGUGAAAUAUAGUGGCUCAACCUCUAUCGUGCAGCGCGAACUGUUGAACUUGAGUGCGUAGUAGGUAGGCGGAAUUCGUGGUGUAGCGGUGAAAUGCUUAGAUAUCACGAAGAACUCCGAUUGCGAAGGCAGCUUACCGUAACGUUACUGACGCUUAAGCACGAAGGUGCGGGUAUCGAACAGGAUUAGAUACCCUGGUAGUCCGCACAGUAAACGAUGGAUGCUCGCUGUUGGCCUUUAAUGGUCAGUGGCUUAGCGAAAGCGUUAAGCAUCCCACCUGGGGAGUACGCCGGCAACGGUGAAACUCAAAGGAAUUGACGGGGGCCCGCACAAGCGGAGG